GAUUUCCCUAGUAACGGCGAGUGAAGAGGAAAGAGCUCAAAGUUGGAAUCCGGCUGCCCUAGGUAGUUGGAGUUGUAAACUGGAGAGGUGUUUUCCAGGCGAGCCAAGCAAAUAAGUCCUUUGGAACGGGGCAUCAUAGAGGGUGAGAAUCCCGUCUUUGGCUUGAGCUAUUCGCCUUUUGCGAUACACUUUCAAAGAGUCAGGUUGUUUGGGAAUGCAGCCUAAAUUGGGUGGUAAAUCUCACCUAAAGCUAAAUAUUGGCGAGAGACCGAUAGCGAACAAGUACCGUGAGGGAAAGAUGAAAAGAACUUUGAAAAGAGAGUUAAACAGUAUGUGAAAUUGUUGAAAGGGAACCGUUUGGAGCCAGACCGGCCGUUCUAUAAUCAAUCUCUGCCUCGGUGGGGAUGCACUUGUAGGGCGUUGGCCUGCCAACAGCAAUUUUUUCUGAUGGAAAAAACCAGGAGGAAUGUGGCCCUUCGGGGUGUUAUAGCCUUUUGGAAAAUACAUCGGAGGGGAUUGAGGACUGCAGCAAAUGCCUCUCGGGGCGAAAUACCUGCGUGCUUGUGUUGAGGAUAGUAUAGAAUCUCUGCUUCGGGUGGUGCUAUGCUCCAAUGCGCAACUCGCGUAGACUAUUUUCUCUUUGCUUAGGUUGUUGGCUUAAUGACUCUAAAUGAC
rnacentral:rRNA from 1 species